CCUACGGGCGGCAGCAGUGGGGAAUAUUGCACAAUGGGCGCAAGCCUGAUGCAGCCAUGCCGCGUGUGUGAAGAAGGCCUUCGGGUUAUAAAGCACUUUCAGCGGGGAGGAAGGCGUUAAGGUUAAUAACCUUGGCGAUUGACGUUACCCGCAGAAGAAGCACCGGCUAACUCCGUGCCAGCAGCCGCGGUAAUACGGAGGGUGCAAGCGUUAAUCGGAAUUACUGGGCGUAAAGCGCACGCAGGCGGUCUGUCAAGUCGGAUGUGAAAUCCCCGGGCUCAACCUGGGAACUGCAUUCGAAACUGGCAGGCUAGAGUCUUGUAGAGGGGGGUAGAAUUCCAGGUGUAGCGGUGAAAUGCGUAGAGAUCUGGAGGAAUACCGGUGGCGAAGGCGGCCCCUGGACAAAGACUGACGCUCAGGUGCGAAAGCGUGGGGAGCAAACAGGAUUAGAACCCCAGUAGUC
rnacentral:rRNA from 1 species